rnacentral:tRNA from 1 species
GUUCCGGUGGCUCAGCAUGGUAGAGCGCCGCGUCGACAUCGCGGAAGUCGCUGGUUCGAGUCCAGCCCGGAACA